GCUCUUGCAUAAAAACUGCGCACACAUACAUAAACAGAGCAGAAAACAUGCAUUAAAGGAUAGAUUCUCAUGACCUGCACGUUUUUUUCAAUAUGCGUGUCUCAGGGCGCAAUGUAAAACAGUUUUUUGCAAGUUUUAAAACAUAAUGCAGUAGCACGUGGAAAUCAUGGCACAGUCAAAUAGUUCCUUUAUAAAUACGAAAUACAGAUAACCGAUGCGCUCGAACUUAACUUAUCAAAUCAAUCCCUCAGGAUUUGAAUACCUCAUGCUCCUCCAGAUGUUAAUGCACGACAAAAAUCUUAAAUAUUACUCAUGGAGCAUUUUGUAGAAGGCAUAUAUAUUAUGUUGUGGGUAAAGUGGUUAACCACACUCAGUGAAAUUAUACAGAUGUAUAUAAUUAUGCUAAUAAAACAAUUUUCAAACAUCAAAGAAUAUUAAAAUAUGUACUGCAAAUAUGUGUGUAUAUUAUAUGUAAUCAUUAAAAUAUAUGCAUUCAUUUCUUAUUGGAAAAUUUGACUCAAACUUUAUAGAAAAUCAACUUCUAAUUACCUCCCUUUAUUUACAUGAAACGUUUAAUUCGGUAAUAUCUUUAUAAAUUAUGCUUUUUGGAGCCUAUGAUAUUGAUAAAUCUUAAUUUGGGCAUCAUAUUUAUGAUUUAAAAUCAUAAAAAAAAUGUGUUACAGGAUCAUUAACAUAUAUACAUGUACAUAAAUGCAGCAUGGAAAAGAACAAAAAAAACAACAAUGGAACAUCAUUCAUGUCUUUACUGAAUUAAGCACCUUAUCUAGCAAAUUUUCUCCUGUGAGCGAGUAGGCCAUCUUGUAGUUUUCAGUAUCAUAAAGUAUCGGUUAAAAUGUCCGCUGGAAUUGUACAGAAAAGUUAGAACUACUGCGUUUCAACCAUACGCAAAUAAGUGUAGAUUUUGGUGAGAUUGUUUGCUUUUAUUUAGUCAAGAUAUUGUUGGGAGAUAAAUCUGCGUUCUUAACCGUUAUUUUCCAUUGUUGGUCUAUAUUUUAUUGCUACACAAUAAAUUAACAAUUCAUUUUUUUUUUCAUGAAUUAAUUUCUGGAGUAAUUUAAUAAUAUUUGUUACUUUUCUAUUUUAGGUGGAUCGAAAAGUAAGUUUUACAUCUUAUGAUAACUAUUCAUCAUAAUUUGAAUUAUAUAAAAAGCAUUACCAUUUGAAAUACAUAUAUUAGAUCGGCCGAAAUUAGAAUAAUUAACAAAGCAAAUUACGUCUCAGAAUUUAAAAUUUUGUUUGAAUUAAUUUUAUUUCAUAUAUUUUGAUUAAAAUAUAUUUGAAUAUCAUUAGUUUUAUAAUUGUUAACGAAUAAAUAGUGUUAUAAUUAACCUCGACUAUUUCCCGUCUGUACCGUUAUUUCUAUUGUGUUAUUUUAGAGGAUUGUGUUGACGUUAGUCCGUAUUGUGCACGUUACGGUACCAAAACGUGCCAGAGUAACAUUAUAUGGAUGAAACCAAACUGCAGAAAAACGUGUAAUUUCUGCUAACAAUGGCAAAUUUGUAUCACAAAGAGGAGAUGUUGGCAUCAGGUAAUGGCUUACCCGACAGAAAUGUAUGAGCUACCAGUUAAAACAAGUGAAGUUUGAAGUGAAUUUAUUUAUUGUUCUAUAUUUGACUUUAAAUAGUGACCUAUAUAAGUUAUAUUUGAAUAGUAAACUUAGAAAUAAAAAAUCUUUUUGUUUAUA